CCUACGGGAGGCAGCAGUAAGGAAUAUUGGUCAAUGGAGGCAACUCUGAACCAGCCAUGCCGCGUGCAGGAUGAAGGCCCUAUGGGUCGUAAACUGCUUUUGUACCAGAGAAAACCCGAGUACGUGUACUCGGUUGAUAGUAUGGUAAGAAUAAGCAUCGGCUAACUUCGUGCCAGCAGCCGCGGUAAGACGAAGGAUGCAAGCGUUAUCCGGAUUCAUUGGGUUUAAAGGGUGCGUAGGCGGACUGAUAAGUCAGUGGUGAAAUCUCUCGGCUUAACCGAGAAACUGCCAUUGAUACUGUCAGUCUAGAGUACAGAUGAUGUGGGCGGAAUAUGACAUGUAGCGGUGAAAUGCUUAGAUAUGUCAUAGAACACCGAUUGCGAAGGCAGCUCACAAAACUGUAACUGACGCUGAGGCACGAAAGUGCGGGGAUCAAACAGGAUUAGAUACCCUGGUAGUCCGCACCGUAAACGAUGAUUACUCGUUGUUGGCAAUAGUGACCGUCGAGCGACCGAACGACGAACGAACGAGUAAGUUAAGUUACCGUACCGUUACGGGGUUAGGUACGGCCGGCCGACCGGUACGGAAACGUUAAAGUUAGUUAAGUUAGACGGCGUUGGAGACGUUCGCCGACGGACGACGACGAGGGAGUAGG
rnacentral:rRNA from 1 species